CUCUUUAUAGGCAAUAAAUGUUCUUUUAAAAAAAAAUAACCAAAAGGAAAAAAUAUCUUAACUGCAUGUAAACUAAUGUAAAUCUCCCAUUGCCUCCACAGCUAGAUGGGUGGAAAAGAGGUAAAAAGGCAUUUUACGGAGUCCACAGGGAAUUCUGAGAGUAAAUCCAGAAACAAAUUGAUUUGUGUUCAUUUUUCAUGCUGGUAACUCAUAGUGCUCAGACAUCGGUGUCAUAUACUAGGAGUGGAGGGGCCCCUCAGGGCUAACCCGGGUCCUAAUACUCCCACCCAGAGCAGGGAGCCUCUCUACUCUGCCAGAGAAAAGCAAGGGGCAUGUCAGCUCAGAGUGUGGGCAUGACAGUGUCUGUCUUUGGCCCCUGCCUCAUAGCAACAUCUCCCAAGUACAUGCCUAUUUACCACGCAGCCCCGCCCUGUUGAGACCCACAGAGCCAACCCUACCUGUGCCCUUUUUGGUGGUGAGGACUGCUUAGGACCUGUUCUCAGAUUGCUCAUAGCAGGUAUGGGAGACACGCCUGUCACCUCAGUACAUGCGCGCGCGCACACACACACACACAUACACAAAGAGAAUUCCUUGCCAACAGGGGAGAAGCAUGGAAGGCUGCGACCAUUCAGCCUGAUCCAGUUUUAUAGGAUCUAUAGGUCACCACAAAGGCCAAAGUUCUUUGAAGCACAUCCUGUCCCUUCUCAGAACAUGAGUCCCUCCGUUAGCCCUGCAGCUUCCCUUCCUUGUCAUAAACUACUGGCAAAGCUGAGGGAGCAUGUGAGGUUGGUGUCUCACCAACAGCCACGCAGCCUCUUUGACUGAUGACCAGCAAAGAGCCCAGCUAGGGUAGAGGAAGGCCACCGGCGGCAGCUCUCUCUCCUCCUCCACCAGGGAGCGGUCCUGGGACUAAGCUCUGGACAAGGACACAGAAAGUAAAGACUCUCUUAUCCCAACAGAAAAAGGGGGAGCUACGGCAGCCAUCCAGUGAGUGCAAGGUCAGGAGCAAGGAAGCCCAGAGAGGGUGACCCUGGGCUCUGCUGAAGAUGGCUGGUCAUGUGGCUGUCUCUUAGGAGUGGAGACUAGCCACCUCCAGUCUACUCUGAGACACACCUCUGCCCCUCUAGAUGGCUCAGGUCCCAUGGAUCCCACGUUCUCCAACAUGAAGCUGAACAUACCCUAACUAGUGCCGCCCUGCCAAUUUUAUGGUAGCCAAAUUCAUUCAUAGACACAUUUAUUUUGCAUCAAUUAGUGCAGGGCAUUGCAGAUGAUGCUGUUCGCCUCAGGGCAAACCUUCAUGGGGAGCACUGGUAGAUGAGGCUAAUUGUGAGACACACCCAAGUUCUGAGACCUGGUCUGGCACGUGAUACUCCAUCUUGACUGCCAACCUGACUGGAUCCAGAAUCAGCUAGAGAGAAACUUCUGGGAAUGCCUAAGAGGAACUUCCCUUGCCCUGUUUCUUUGACGUGGAAGAGCCGCCCCACAUAUGGGCAGCAGCUUCCGGUUAGAGCCUCCAUAAAGGAGGUCUGAGGAAACAACUUCGAUUUUCGCCGUACUGCCUUUAUGUCUUAUUGCUGACGUCAUCGGCUCGGCUGCCGCCACGACUGCAUCCCCUUGCUGGUACUGGAACUCAGUGUCUUCUGGCUCCCACUGCACACUGAAGACCACUGGCUUCCCAGGACUCCCCCGGCCCUUAGCACCAGAUGGGGACAGCCGAGGCAUCCAGCCUCGUGGACCGAGCAGCUUACUCGAGAGUUAAGCUUCUACAGUAUGAGAACGAGAACAGCUGCUAUUGGAUUACCCAGACUACAGCAAACAUCCCUGACUAUGUGUGAGGAAACGGGGUGUCUGGAGAGUUCUAUUUCGAGACGGGCAUUCGGGGAGAGAACACAGGGAAGGCUGCGUGGAGGAGGUGGCGUUAUGAACUAGGUCUGGAAAGGAGCCCAUGAUGGAGUGCUGCUGAGGUCCUGCUGGGGGAAUGUGGAAGAGGGCUGAGGAAGCAGACACCUCAGUCCAAGAAGUUACCUGGGGGUAUGGGCUGCCUGUCCUGACACUUCACACUGGGGAGAAACCAGCCUCUCUGCUGCUCGAUCUUGGGCAUCUGGACCUCUGCUCUACACAACUGCACUGCCUCCGAAUAGCUGCGUACAGGAGGAAACCAUCUGGCAGACAAGGCCAUCUGGAGACUCACAGCCAGGGUGCCAUGGAAAGGGCUGAUCUUUUCCUAGCAAGCCUCAGGCCAGCCUCCUCUAGGUCGCUGUGCCAGUCUGUCAUUGACAUCUCUGUCCACACCUGCCUCUCAGGGUCUUAUAUGAAACUGGCUGUCCAUGCCCAGGGGCAGCACAACACAUGGGCAUUUCUGAUGGGCUUUUCAUGAUGACAGGAUUUCCCCGCCUCACCCAUCAUCAAUAAAUAACCACU